UUUCCGUAGGUGAACCUGCGGAAGGAUCAUUAUUGUAUAACCGAGGUGCGAGGGCUGUCGCUGACCCGACAGUUCGUGCACGCCCGAGUGCCCUCACACACAUCCAUCUCACCCCUAUGUGCACCACCGCGUGGGUCCCCCUUUGGCUUGUUCGGAGGGGGGCUUACGUUUUCACACAAACUUUGUAUGCAGUGUAGAAUGUAUUUUUUGUUUUUGCGAUCACGCAAUCAAUACAACUUUCAACAACGGAUCUCUUGGCUCCC
rnacentral:misc_RNA from 1 species